rnacentral:tRNA from 1 species
GGCCGGUUGGCCCAAUGGCAAGGCGUCUGACUACGAUCAUGAAUGGUAUCAGGAGAUUCUGGGUUCGACCCCCAGGCUGGUCA